UCUUCCGAACCAAGCCAUCAGCUUCAUCCCGAGUUUCAUGGAUUAACAACUUCGAACUCCAUCUGUUUCCCAAUGGAUUAUUACCCACUCCAUGCGUACGGCUCCCUCUUCUUCAUCUAAACUGAGUCCUCUGUUUCAGCCGUGAAGAACAAGAUGCCCAGCAACUUACAACGAAACAACUGAUUCAUUCACAUCCUCUGCUCCUAAAUCAUCUCCUCUUCAUCACGAAUCAAAGCAAUUACAUUCCCCUCCACAGAUUUUCUCCCAGCCAUCAAAUCUUCUUUCAAAUUCCCUUGUUACCGAACAGAGUUCAAUUUGGUUACAUGAUCCAUCUUUUAUCCAGCAACCGCAUGAGAUUUCCAACACUCCUAUCUCUUCUCAACCGAGCUCUCUUCCGUGUCCAAAGCUUUCCUUUCCAGCUGAAUCGAGCCAACUUCCUCCGGAUUCCAUUCACGAACAGAUCUCAGCAUCUGUGGAUAAGCUUCC
rnacentral:lncRNA from 1 species